AAAGAAACAAAGGAGUCACAUUUUACUGUGGGCUCACAGUUUCAGAAUGGUCAGUUCAUGGCUGUUGGCUUCAUGUGCUUGAAGGAAACAUCAUGAGUGCAGGAGCAGGGCACCAGCAAGAACUUCCCACUGUUUGUGAAGCCUGAUGACUGCAACAUUUAUCCUAAUGGAUCAUCUCAUAGCUUAGAAACCAUUCUCAAAGACAUUCAAGAGAAGACUCAAAAUUCUUCUUCAGCAGUGGGAGCUUAAAACGGCAAGGCUAAGCCCUAGGACAGAAAGAACACUGGCUCUGGAGCAGGAACUGGACGUGUCCCGGCUCUGCCUACACAAUCUCUGUGACCUUAAAGACAUCACUGACUUCCUAGGAGAUUCAGUUUUAUGUCGCAUUUAAGCUAAAAUUUCCAAGGUCAUUUUAAAAAAAAACCCUGGUUUCUAAAUUCCUGUAAUCUAAGCUCCUGUGCAUAGUUAAAUGCAUAUGAGCCGUUACACCUUCCCUUCAAAAUGCCCGCUGCUUCCUUUUGCACUUAGACUAAAACCCAGACUCCCCUUCCAACCUUCAUCGCUUAUCUGAUGUGGCCCCGCCUACAGACUCCUCCCAUUCUCCACCCACCAUCUACUUCCACCAAGUGCUGGGCAUGCUGCUGCAGUGUACUCUGCCCCGUCCUUGCUUGCUGUCUCCUAUAUCACUCACAUUCCAUGCAGAUGUCACUUUGGGAGAGAUACCGUUUCUGAACACCUUAUUCUGCAACACACACACACACACACAAACACACACAUAUACACACACACACACAAUACCAUUCUAUCACUUCAUCUUUGUUUCAUUUUCUCCAUUGUGUCUGUCAUGACCAAAUGUUACCUUGUGCAAUUAUGCGAUAUCUUCACAUUUGAGAGACUGGUCCUGGAAUGCACGACUACCUGAUAGUGGGAACUUUGUCCAUCUACACUCCCAGGACCUAGCCAGACUGGCACCCUAGCAGAUUCUCAAAAAAGAAAUAAACAAAAACGUCUGACAAAUUCA